UAAGUUGGUAGUGAAAUCGUGGGGCUCAACCUCAUAAACAUUACCAAAACUGCGCUGGCUAGAGGAUGAGAGAGGUAGCUGGAAUUCCCUGUGUAGGAGUGAAAUCCGUAGAUAUAGGGAGGAACACCGAUGGCGUAGGCAGGCUACUGGCUCAUUCCUGACGCUCAGGCACGAAAGCGUGGGGAGCGACCGGGAUUAGAUACCCCGUUAGUCCACGCCGUAAACGAUGGAUGCUA
rnacentral:rRNA from 1 species